rnacentral:lncRNA from 1 species
UGUGAGAGGAGAGGGACGCUCGUCCGCAGGGUGAGAGAGAGGGACGCUGUCGUCCUCAGUGUGAUGGGGAGAGACGCUCGUCCCGCAGGUGUGAGAGAGGGAGAUGCUCGUCCCGCAGGUGUGAGAGAGAGGGACGCUCGUCCCUCAGGUGUGAGAGAGAGACGCUGUCCGCAGUGUGAUAGGGUCAGGACGUUGUCCGCAGGUGUGAUGGGGCAGAGACACUCUCCCGCAGGUGUGGAGAGAGACGCUCGUCCGCAGGUGUGAGAGAGAGGGACGCUCGUCCCGCAGGUGUGAGAGUGGGAGAUUCUCGUCCCGAAGUGUGAGAGAGAGACGCUCGUCCCGCAGGUGUGAUGGGGGAGAGACGCUCGUCCCGCAGGUGUGAUGGGGGAGAGACGCUCGUCCGCAGUGUGAGAGAGGGAAUGCUCGUCCUGCAGGUGUGAGAGAGAGGGACACUCGUCCCGCAGGUGUGAGAGAGAGACGCUAGUCCCGCAGGUGUGAGAAGGAGGAUGCUCGUCCCGCAGGUGUGAGAGAGAGGGACGCUCGUCCCGCAGGUGUGAGAGUGGGAGAUUCUCGUCCGCAAGUGUGAGAGAGAGACGCUCGUCCCGCAGGUGUGAGAGAGGGCGAUGCUCGUCCCGCAGGUGUGAGAGAGAGGGACGCUCGUCCCGCAGGUGUGAGAGAGAGAGAGACGCUCCUCCCGCAGGUGUGGGAGAGAGAGACGCUCGUCCCGCAGGUGUGAGAGAGAGAGGGACACUCGUCCCGCAGGUGUGAGAGAGAGGGACGCUCGUCCCGCAGGUGUGAUGGGGGAGAGACGCUCAUCCCGCAGGUGUGGGAGAGAGGGACGCUCGUCCCACAGGUGUGAGAGAGAGAGACACUCGUCCCGCAGGUGUGGGAGAGAGAGACACUCGUCCCACAGGUGUGAGAGAGGGAGACGCUCGUCCCGCAGGUGUGAAGAGGAGGGACACUCGUCCCGCAGGUGUGAGAGAGAGAGGGACACUCGUCCCACAGAUGUGAGAGAGGGAGACGCUCGUCCCGCAGGUGUGGGAGAGAGAGAGGGACGCUCGUCCCACAGGUGUGAGAGAGAGGGACACUCGUCCCGCAGGUGUGGGAGAGAGAGGGAGACACUCGUCCCGCAGGUGUGAUAGGGGGAGAGACGCUCCUCCCGCAGGUGUGGGAGAGAGGGACGCUCGUCCUGCAGGUGUGAGAGUGGGAGACUCUCAUCCCGCAAGUGUGAUGGGGGAGAGACGCUCGUCCCACAGGUGUGGGAGAGAGGGGGAUGCUCGUCCUGCAGGUGUGGGACAGGAGGAGACGUUCUUGCGCACCAGGAAUAGGUCCCUGUGGCAGAAGCCCGAGUUUGUGGGGAGUCCUUGCUGACUUUGAGACUGCAAAGGUGCUUGGAGCUGGGUGUUACAGAACCUUCAUGCCCACAGAAUAUGCAGUAAUUGAUGACCUUGGGGCCAAUAGGGCCAUGGACCUUUAUGUGAGUAUGCUGGGGUGAGUCUGCCUGCCUCCUCAGGGAGCUUGUCCUGCUUGUUCUCACCCUGUGCUGAUCCCUUUACCAUUACUUCUUACUUGUGGAUACUUGUUUUAUUGUCAUUGAUUCUCUGUAUUUGCCUACUGAGAAAAAGUGGUAAGAAUUUGUAUGUAAAAGAUGAGGUUAAUUAGUGAUUAAUUUGCUCCAAGAGAUGAUGGUCUUAAAGGUAUGUUUAAGGAAGUUUGGAAGUCGUUUAAACAAUGAUUUGUAUGAAAGACCUUUGCAGUAUAUCGAUUGUAUUUAGCAUGUGAACUCACAUAUAGUAUCAAUUCUAUUUAGUAUUUCUGAAAGAGACUGUUAUUGUGGAGUAGCAGCAUGCCUGGAGGUUAGAAAAAGAACCAAAGGACCAUUUGGUCUUUGCAGCAGGAUUCAGGUGUGUCUUGACCUGACUAGUAUGCAAAUUUAGUUUCCUUUGAACAUAUCCCUGUGGUUAAAAUAGAGGCACCAAUAUAAGUUUAUGAUUAUCAUAAAUUAAACCAUCAACUAACUACAGUCUGUGCCCACCGGCUAAUCUUCUGAUUAGAAUCAGUUUCCCAAGUAGAAGUAACUUGAGAGAAUGUGUGGAAUUAAAAUUUUUACUGUAGUUUUACAAAUUAAUAAAUUCGCCUUUUAAUUAAUGUUUAAGUCUUUG